GAUGAACGCUGGCGGCGUGCCUAAUACAUGCAAGUCGAGCGAACAGACGAGGAGCUUGCUCCUCUGACGUUAGCGGCGGACGGGUGAGUAACACGUGGAUAACCUACCUAUAAGACUGGGAUAACUUCGGGAAACCGGAGCUAAUACCGGAUAAUAUAUUGAACCGCAUGGUUCAAUAGUGAAAGACGGUUUUGCUGUCACUUAUAGAUGGAUCCGCGCCGCAUUAGCUAGUUGGUAAGGUAACGGCUUACCAAGGCAACGAUGCGUAGCCGACCUGAGAGGGUGAUCGGCCACACUGGAACUGAGACACGGUCCAGACUCCUACGGGAGGCAGCAGUAGGGAAUCUUACGCAAUGGGCGAAAGCUUGACGGAGCAACGCCGCGUGAGUGAUGAAGGUCUUCGGAUCGUAAAACUCUGUUAUUAGGGAAGAACAAAUGUGUAAGUAACUAUGCACGUCUUGACGGUACCUAAUCAGAAAGCCACGGCUAACUACGUG
rnacentral:rRNA from 1 species